UACAGAGGGUGCGAGCGUUGUCCGGAAUCACUGGGCGUAAAGGGCGCGUAGGCGGCCUGCUAAGUCGAACGUGAAAUCCCCGGGCUCAACCCGGGAACUGCGUCCGAUACUGGUUGGCUUGAAUCCGGGAGAGGGAUGCGGAAUUCCAGGUGUAGCGGUGAAAUGCGUAGAUAUCGGGAGGAACACCAGAGGCGAAGGCGGGCUACUGGGCUGAUACUGACGCUGAUGCGCGAAAGCCAGGGGAGCAAACGGG
rnacentral:rRNA from 1 species